rnacentral:rRNA from 1 species
GGGUUGUGAGGUUAAGCGACUAAGCGUACACGGUGGAUGCCCUGGCAGUCAGAGGCGAUGAAGGACGUGCUAAUCUGCGAUAAGCGCCGGUAAGGUGAUAUGAACCGUUAUAACCGGCGAUUUCCGAAUGGGGAAACCCAGUGUGACUCGUCACACUAUCAUUAACUGAAUCCAUAGGUUAAUGAGGCGAACCGGGGGAACUGAAACAUCUAAGUACCCCGAGGAAAAGAAAUCAACCGAGAUUCCCCCAGUAGCGGCGAGCGAACGGGGAGGAGCCCAGAGCCUGAAUCAGCAUGUGUGUUAGUGGAAGCGUCUGGAAAGGCGCGCGAUACAGGGUGACAGCCCCGUACACAAAAGCGCAUGUGUUGUGAGCUCGAUGAGUAGGGCGGGACACGUGGUAUCCUGUCUGAAUAUGGGGGGACCAUCCUCCAAGGCUAAAUACUCCUGACUGACCGAUAGUGAACCAGUACCGUGAGGGAAAGGCGAAAAGAACCCCGGCGAGGGGAGUGAAAAAGAACCUGAAACCGUGUACGUACAAGCAGUGGGAGCACCCUUCGGGGUGUGACUGCGUACCUUUUGUAUAAUGGGUCAGCGACUUAUAUUCUGUAGCAAGGUUAACCGAAUAGGGGAGCCGGAGGGAAACCGAGUCUUAACCGGGCGUUAAGUUGCAGGGUAUAGACCCGAAACCCGGUGAUCUAGCCAUGGGCAGGUUGAAGGUUGGGUAACACUAACUGGAGGACCGAACCGACUAAUGUUGAAAAAUUAGCGGAUGACCUGUGGCUGGGGGUGAAAGGCCAAUCAAACCGGGAGAUAGCUGGUUCUCCCCGAAAGCUAUUUAGGUAGCGCCUCGUGAAUUCAUCUCCGGGGGUAGAGCACUGUUUCGGCUAGGGGGCCAUCCCGGCUUACCAACCCGAUGCAAACUGCGAAUACCGGAGAAUGUUAUCACGGGAGACACACGGCGGGUGCUAACGUCCGUCGUGAAGAGGGAAACAACCCAGACCGCCAGCUAAGGUCCCAAAGUCAUGGUUAAGUGGGAAACGAUGUGGGAAGGCCCAGACAGCCAGGAUGUUGGCUUAGAAGCAGCCAUCAUUUAAAGAAAGCGUAAUAGCUCACUGGUCGAGUCGGCCUGCGCGGAAGAUGUAACGGGGCUAAACCAUGCACCGAAGCUGCGGCAGCGACACUGUGUGUUGUUGGGUAGGGGAGCGUUCUGUAAGCCUGUGAAGGUGUGUCGUGAGGCAUGCUGGAGGUAUCAGAAGUGCGAAUGCUGACAUAAGUAACGAUAAAGCGGGUGAAAAGCCCGCUCGCCGGAAGACCAAGGGUUCCUGUCCAACGUUAAUCGGGGCAGGGUGAGUCGACCCCUAAGGCGAGGCCGAAAGGCGUAGUCGAUGGGAAACGGGUUAAUAUUCCCGUACUUGGUGUUACUGCGAAGGGGGACGGAGAAGGCUAUGUUGGCCGGGCGACGGUUGUCCCGGUUUAAGCGUGUAGGUGUGUGUUCCAGGUAAAUCCGGUUCACUUUAACACUGAGGCGUGACGACGAGGCACUACGGUGCUGAAGCAACAAAUGCCCUGCUUCCAGGAAAAGCCUCUAAGCAUCAGGUAACAUCAAAUCGUACCCCAAACCGACACAGGUGGUCAGGUAGAGAAUACCAAGGCGCUUGAGAGAACUCGGGUGAAGGAACUAGGCAAAAUGGUGCCGUAACUUCGGGAGAAGGCACGCUGACACGUAGGUGAAGUGAUUUACUCAUGGAGCUGAAGUCAGUCGAAGAUACCAGCUGGCUGCAACUGUUUAUUAAAAACACAGCACUGUGCAAACACGAAAGUGGACGUAUACGGUGUGACGCCUGCCCGGUGCCGGAAGGUUAAUUGAUGGGGUCAGCGCAAGCGAAGCUCCUGAUCGAAGCCCCGGUAAACGGCGGCCGUAACUAUAACGGUCCUAAGGUAGCGAAAUUCCUUGUCGGGUAAGUUCCGACCUGCACGAAUGGCGUAAUGAUGGCCAGGCUGUCUCCACCCGAGACUCAGUGAAAUUGAACUCGCUGUGAAGAUGCAGUGUACCCGCGGCAAGACGGAAAGACCCCGUGAACCUUUACUAUAGCUUGACACUGAACAUUGAGCCUUGAUGUGUAGGAUAGGUGGGAGGCUUUGAAGUGUGGACGCCAGUCUGCAUGGAGCCGACCUUGAAAUACCACCCUUUAAUGUUUGAUGUUCUAACGUGGACCCGUGAUCCGGGUUGCGGACAGUGUCUGGUGGGUAGUUUGACUGGGGCGGUCUCCUCCUAAAGAGUAACGGAGGAGCACGAAGGUUGGCUAAUCCUGGUCGGACAUCAGGAGGUUAGUGCAAUGGCAUAAGCCAGCUUGACUGCGAGCGUGACGGCGCGAGCAGGUGCGAAAGCAGGUCAUAGUGAUCCGGUGGUUCUGAAUGGAAGGGCCAUCGCUCAACGGAUAAAAGGUACUCCGGGGAUAACAGGCUGAUACCGCCCAAGAGUUCAUAUCGACGGCGGUGUUUGGCACCUCGAUGUCGGCUCAUCACAUCCUGGGGCUGAAGUAGGUCCCAAGGGUAUGGCUGUUCGCCAUUUAAAGUGGUACGCGAGCUGGGUUUAGAACGUCGUGAGACAGUUCGGUCCCUAUCUGCCGUGGGCGCUGGAGAACUGAGGGGGGCUGCUCCUAGUACGAGAGGACCGGAGUGGACGCAUCACUGGUGUUCGGGUUGUCAUGCCAAUGGCACUGCCCGGUAGCUAAAUGCGGAAGAGAUAAGUGCUGAAAGCAUCUAAGCACGAAACUUGCCCCGAGAUGAGUUCUCCCUGAGACUUAGAGUCUCCUGAAGGAACGUUGAAGACGACGACGUUGAUAGGCCGGGUGUGUAAGCGCAGCGAUGCGUUGAGCUAACCGGUACUAAUGAACCGUGAGGCUUAACCUUACAACGCCGAAG